rnacentral:rRNA from 1 species
GAUGAACGCUAGCGGGAGGCUUAACACAUGCAAGUCGAGGGGCAUCACGGGUAGCAAUACCUGGUGGCGACCGGCAGACGGGUGAGUAACGCGUAUGUAACCUACCCUGUACAGGGGGAUAACCCGGAGAAAUUCGGACUAAUAUCCCAUAAUGAUAUCUGGGGGCAUCUUCGGAUAUUUAAAGUUCCGGCGGUACAGGAUGGGCAUGCGUAACAUUAGCUAGUUGGUAAGGUAACGGCUUACCAAGGCUUUGAUGUUUAGGGGUCCUGAGAGGGUGGUCCCCCACACUGGUACUGAGACACGGACCAGACUCCUACGGGAGGCAGCAGUGAGGAAUAUUGGUCAAAUGGGCGCAAGCCUGAACCAGCCAUCCCGCGUGCAGGAAGACGGCCCUAUGGGUUGUAAACUGCUUUUCCAGGGAGAGAAACUUGCGUACGCGUUGCGCAAUUGACGGUACCCUGGGAAUAAGCAUCGGCUAACUCCGUGCCAGCAGCCGCGGUAAGCAUA